GUCCUUUUCAUUCCGAGAGCAGGACAUGAUCAUGCUCAGGUAGUCUAUCCCACCUCUCACUGGUCGCCUGAUGAUGUUCAAACAAUGUAUUUGUAUUAUUGUUAUUAUUAUGUGUGACUGUGUGCAGUGACUACCGCAGUUUCAGCCGAUGGUUCCGUUUUGCCAGCCGGUGCGUGAUGCGCAGCCCGUGGCUAUCACGCUAGUGAACACGAAUCGGGAUGGGAAAAACACAGAUGAGAAGCUUUCCCCGGGAUUAAAACCCCGUCCUCUUGAAAGGUUCUAUAUCGUCGGUCGUCGUUAGUCGGCGUCGGUUUCCUUUCUGUACAGUGCUCUACCCGCGCGAAAAAUCACACAAAAGCAAAGCUACAAGUAAAAUGGUGUGCUUGAAAUGUUUUAUUGGGUUUUAAUUCAGGUCCUUUUACACAUGGAAGUCAGAUGGGAGACCUGAAAACAACAACGGACAAAUGUGUUACAGAGGGUGGCAAGAAGUCCAGAUGAAAUGGACUUGAAUGAAGCAAUACAGAGUUGUUUUGGGUCAACCUCUGGAAUCAGUUCAAAUGCCCUGCGUGGUUCAGACAAGGGAUCCGCUUCGGGAAAGUCGUAUUCCUGGUCGUAGUGCUGGUAAGUUGACAUCGCUCUGCAAAGUUUUCCUGUCGAACAACAGAUAGUCCCAAAAAAAUUAUCUAAAGGAAGUUUGUUCUGAAGUGUCUGUCCUAUAUCUGAGAGAUAGAGUGCAUUCGGAAAGUAUUCAAACCCCUUGACCUUUUCCACAUUUUGUUACAUUACAGCAUUGUUCUAAAAUUGUUUUUUCCCCUCAUCAAUCUACCGUAAUUUCCGGACUAUUGAGCGCACCUGAAUAUAAGCCGCACCUGUCUAUAAGCCGCAACACCUCGGCCGUCUGCUCUCUGUGUGUUGACCCAGUCUUCGAGCUCAUUUUCUAGUUCAGGCCAUUCUCUGAAAGCUUUAGUUGUCUUUUUGCACUGAGACAAUUCCUCACGCUGCUGUUUCCAACGUCUUAUCAUCGACUCAUUAAGACCAAGCUCCCGUGCAGCAGCUCUAUUUCCUUUUCCAACAGCCAGAUCAAUCGCCUUCAACUUGAAAGCUGCAUCAUAUGCAUUUCUCCGUGUCUUUGCCAUGAUGAGGGUGACAAAAUGACUACCAUAAUCAGAAUGAUGGGAAGUUUGAGAGCGCUCGAUUUAAUCUAAACAGUAAACAAAAAAGUUGUUUGACCUUAACCCGUUCGGCAAUUUCAUUGGUCUAAUGAAAGCUUCAUGCCGCCAAAAAACUGAGCACGUCACAGAAUGUGUUUUUUUGGAGAAAAAAAAAUUGAAAGCGGGAAAAAUCCAUAUAUUAGCCUCGCCAUUGUUUAAGCCGCGAGGUUCAAAGCGUGGGAAAAAAGUUGCGGCUUAUAGUCCGGAAAUUACGGUACACACAAUACCCCAUACUGACAAAGCAAAAACUGAUUUUUUGAAAUGUUAGCAAAUGUAUAAUAAAAAACCCCGGAAAUAUCACAUUUAAAUAAGUAUCCAGACCCUUUCCUCAGUACUUUGUUGAAGCACCUUUGGCAGCAAUUACAGCCUCGAGUCUUCUUGGCUGUGACGCCACAAGCUUGGCACACCUGUAUUUGGGGAGUUUCUCCCGUUCUUCUCUGCUGAUCCCCUCAAGCUCUGUCAGGUUGGAUGGGGAGCAUGGGGAGCACAGCUAUUUUCAGAUCUCUCCAGAGAUGUUCGAUCGGGUUCCAGUCCAGGCUCUGGCUGGGCCACUCAAGGACAUUCAGAGACUUGUCCUGAUGCCACUCCUGCGUUGUCUUGGCUGUGUGCUUAGGGUUGUUGUCAGGUUGGAAAGGUUGGAAAGGUUUUCAUCAAGGAUCUCUUUGUACUUUGUUCCGUUCAUUUUCCCCUCGAUCCUGACUUGUCUCCCAGUCCCUGCCGCUGAAAACAUCCCCACAGCAUGAUGCUGCCACCACCAUGCUUCCCCGUAGGGAUGGUGCCAGGUUUCCUCUAGAUGUGACACUUGGCAUUCAGGCCAAAGAGUUCAAUCUUGGUUUUAUCAGACCAGAGAAUCUUGUUUCUCAUGGUCUCUGAGUCCUUUUGGUGCCUUUUAGCAAACUCCAAGCGGGCUGUCAUGUGCUUUUUACUGAGGAGUGACUUCCUUCUGGCCACUCUACCAUAAAGGCCUGAAUGGUGGAGUGUUGCAGAGAUGGUUGUGCUUCUGGAAGGUUCACCCAUCUCCACAGAGGAACUCUGGAGCUCUGUCAGAGUGACCAUCGGGUUCUUGAGCAAAAGAACCGACAUGUGCAGUACCAGUCAAAAGUUUGGACACACGCACUCAUUCAAGGGUUUUUCUUAAGUUUUACUAUUUUUUACAUUGUAGAAUAAUAGUGAAGACAUCAAAACUAUGAAAUAACACAUAUGAAUCAUGUAGUAACCCAAAAAGUGUUAAACAAAUCAAAAUAUAUUUUCUUCAAAGUAACCACCCUUUGCCUUGAUGACAGCUUUGCACACUCUUGGCAUUCUCUCAACCAGCUUCAUGACAAUUAUUUACUUGAUUCUGGGCAGCUUUUAGCAAAACACAGAAAUGCAUUAUUGCCUAUACGCCUGUGGCCAUAUCUUUUUCACACUCACAUAUCUGGUGGUGUAGCUUGAGUUUGCUAGUGACCAAGAGGUUAUGGGUUCGAGAACCAUUGGCUUGGCCCAUCCAAUCAGAAUCAGAUUUUCCCCACAAAAGGGCUUUAUUACAGUCAUACAUACUCCUCAGCACCCUCCAGCAUGGUAUUUGCACGCUCCCUCAAAACUUGAGACAUCUUUGGCAUUGUGUUGUAACGGUCGUCGUAUAUACUGGACCAAGGCGCAGCGGGUUGAGUGCUCAUUUUAUCUUUUAUUUAGAACACUUAAUAAACAAAACAAGAAAACGUACGAACGAACAGUAUUGCAGGCUAACACAGCAGUGCAACAACAACUUCCCACAAGGGACAUGUGAAAACGGGGCUACCUAAGUAUGACUCAAUCAGCAACAACGAUGUACAGCUGUUCCUGAUUGAGAGCCAUACCAGGCCAACACAAAGAAAUACACAACAUAGAUAGAUCAUAGAAAUGCACAACAUAGAACAUAACCAAAACCCCGGAAUACUCUAAACAAACACCCCUCUACAUAAACACAUAUAUCAACAAACCCCGAACCACAUAAAACAAACACCCCCCUGCCACGUCCUGACCAAACUACAAUAACAAAUAACCCCUUUACUGGUCAGGACGUGACAUGUGUGACAAAACGGCAAAUUCUAGAGUGGCCUUUUAUUGUCCCCAGCACACCUGUAUAAUGAUCAUGCCGUUUAAUCAGCUUCUUGAUAUGCCACACCGGUCAGGUGGACGAAUUAUCUUGGCAAGAGAUAAGCUCACUAACAGGGAUGUAAACGAAUUUGUGCACAAAAUUUGAGAUAAAUAUGCUUUCUGUGCUUAUGGAAGAUAUCUGAGAUUUUUUAUUUCAGCUCAUGAAACAUGGGACCAACACUUUACAUGUUGUGUUUAUGGUUUUGUUCAUUAUAUUUAUUUAAUCUUUACGGCAAAGUCCAGAAAUGUGUUCUUGCCCAUCUCCAUUAUGUCUAGUGCAGAGAUUAUGAGUUCAAAUCCCAAGGGAGGUUCAGUCCCAACUAAUUAUCAUCUGUCCCUUAACACCUGAAUCUAGCUGUAAAAAAUACAGUAACUACUUGUAGAUUUACAGUAUUGUCACCGCAACUAGACAAAAACAUCCAGGGGACCAUGACUGUUUAAAUUGAAUUAAUGUAAAUUAUGCUUUUCAAAGUAAAAUAUUGUGAAUUACAUUCCACACCUGGGUUUUCACAGAGCUCUAUUUUCAUUUAUUCUGACCACAGCACCGCCAAGAUUUUGACAAACAGAGUUGGCACUUGGAUUGGAACCGGUGCUAUGCCCACAAAUAAAUUGUUAAUUUACAUUAAAAUCAACAUUUUGCAAUAGCCAUCUCGGUCUCCGGACUUGAACCCCAUUGAAAUACCGUGGUUUGAAUUGAAGAGGGCAGUCCAUAAGAGCAGACAAAAGAUAUGGAAAGAUUCUGUAUGGAGGAACGGUCUAAGAUCCCUCCCAAUGUGUUCUCCAAUCUCAUAAAACAUUUCAGAAAAAGGCUCAGUGUUGUUAUCCUGGCAAGGGGAGGGUGCUAGAGUACUGAAAACAAGCGAGCCAAUAAGUGUGACCCUUAUCUUGAGAUUUUAUUUUAUUACUUGUUAAACAAAAUCUCUUUCUCUGAGCAUAUGUAUUAUUAUAAAAUCAUAUAAUUUCCUAAUUUUGUUAGUAUACAAUAUGCUGUGGCUCAGUAGACUAUUUGUAUUAUUUAUUAUAUACAGAAAUUGAG
rnacentral:lncRNA from 1 species